rfam:Rattus norvegicus chromosome 17, whole genome shotgun sequence.
GGAGAUUUAGCUCAGUGGUAGAGCACUUGCCUAGCAAGCGCAAGGCCCUGGGUUCGGUCCCCAGCUCUG